rnacentral:tRNA from 1 species
UAGCUCAAAUGGUAAAGCAUCUGCCUGCAAUGCGGGAAACCCAGGUUCAAUCCCUGG